GCCCAUUAUUUUUCUGCAACACUCUCUCUCUCGUUCGCUUCUUUGAACUUAGGGCUAACUCUAACUCGCUUCUUUUGACUCACAAGCCAAAACGAUCUCUAUGUGCAUCGCUGAUCCGCCUUUCAGGCCGUAGAUUGAAUAUUUAUUGGAAAAAGCUUUUUGAUCAAAUUUCUAUACCUUACUCAAGACAAGGACAGCUACUUCACCACAAGGAAUGAUUUUUCGCAUGAUCUAUUGACAUUUUGGCAAUGUCGGGUUUACUUAAUGUAUUGACACUUUUCUGUAUAACCUAGUUGUACUUGCAUGCUCCUGGACUAUUAUCUCCUUGGUGAUUAUUAGGUUAGGUUAUUUUUAUGUUUGAUUGUUAUAUGUGGCUUUCCCUGGUGCACACUGCACUUAUUAUUUAAACACUAGUUACAACCUUGUGGAUAUGAACUUGUCAAUUUGCGCCUGAAUUGUGCAAGAUAUUGAAAUGCAUGAUGUUAUAUUUGCACAUGAAUUUUCUUAAUUCAUGAAUAUGUGGUUUCUCAAACAUUUGUUUUUUUUUUCUUUGGCACAUUGCUUAUUUUUAUGGCUGAGCAUGUGAUGUUGGAGGGGAUGUUGCCUGAAUUAGCGAGGAAAUGUGAAAUUGAGAAAUGGGAAUUGAUUUGGAAGCAGUUUUGAUUGAAGUUGUUCCAAAGGAGAAUUUCAAUUUUUGACAUUCUGUCCCUGAUAUGC
rnacentral:misc_RNA from 1 species